GAUGAACGCUAGCUACAGGCUUAACACAUGCAAGUCGAGGGGCAGCAUGGUCUUAGCUUGCUAAGGCCGAUGGCGACCGGCGCACGGGUGAGUAACACGUAUCCCACCUGCCGUCUACUCUUGGACAGCCUUCUGAAAGGAAGAUUAAUACAAGAUGGCAUCAUGAGUCCGCAUGUUCACAUGAUUAAAGGUAUUCCGGUAGACGAUGGGGAUGCGUUCCAUUAGAUAGUAGGCGGGGUAACGGCCCACCAAACCGACGAUGGAUAGGGGUUCUGAGAGGAAGGUCCCCCACAUUGGUACUGAGACACGGACCAA
rnacentral:rRNA from 1 species